GUUUAGACGUGUGCAUUUUGAGGGACUGGUAGAACAAUGGCGUGUUGUGGCAGACUUGAUGGUACUUUGCAGCACAAAACGCUUGUUGGUGAUGCCAGAAAUCAACCGUAGACAUCUCUAAGUGGUAUGUGUACCAGCCGACCCAUGGCUCAGCGCUUCUGAGUUUCCAUUGAUUGGUUUCCCAUUCGCGUCCGCUGCAGCGCAAGCGCCUGCUGCAGCGGCGUCUGCUGCAGCGCGAGCGCGUGCUGCAGCGGCGUCUUCCGCCACUGCCGCACCCUCCGGGGAGUCCUCGGGCGCCUCGCUCUCCGUCCAGCCAUCCGACAGGUUCACCGAGAGGGACGUGCAGAUGAUCAUCAACGCCGGCUUCCUCCGGUCUCAGGCGUUCGAAGAGCUGAGGAGGUGCGGCGGUGACAGCACGAAGGCGGUGGCGGCGCUGUUCGCGCGCUCAUUCAAGCUGCCCAAGAUGUGAUCUCCGGCGUCGACGCGACCGCGCCGGCCCGCUCGUGCUGUAGACCAGCCCCGCGCCACCGACGACACGCAGGCGGCGUGCUCGAACUCAUUUCUGGUUCAUGUGUGCAAUCUCCAAUCCGAGAGACUCGCUUCAUGGAUGCUUCGUGUCCUGACUUUGGCAGCGGUGGGCGCUGUUCUUGCGGGUCAACAUGUGAACAGUACCUGUAGUGUGUGUGGGUGUGGGUGACCUCACAUACACACGGGUGCAGCUGUACAGUUCUGAGGCACUGUCCUUGUGACCUCACACAAACAGCGUGAACCACCUGCUGAUAUGUGGGGGCUCGUCGCAGGGUUCGAACACCAUCAGACACUAUAUGACUUCACCACAUUGUCAACCACUGGUGUGUCCUUGGUGGCACUUCCGGCUUAUGUUGUGACUGAGCAUGCAGUCUCAUGAGGAGGGCUGAUGUAAAAUUGCCAUGUCUCAUUUUAGCAGUUGGUUUUAUUGGCAAGGACUAACAUUUAUGGUAUAUAUUUGCGAGUUUUGCUGUGAACUGUGUAGUUCUCUGCAGAUGAAAUGUGCAAAUUGUAACACAGUACUUUUGCAUUUUAUGAUACAGUACUGCAAUACACCACCAGACAAACUU